rnacentral:tRNA from 1 species
AGGAGUGUGGCCUAGUGGAUAGAGCACAGGCCUGGAAGCCUAAAAGAUCUGGGUUCUAAUCCUGGCUCUGCUA